AACCAGCACCUCAAGUGGUCAGGAGGAUUAUUGGGCCUAAAGCAUCCGUAGCCUGUUCUACAAGUUUGCGGUUAAAUCUAUGCGCUCAACGUAUAGGCUGCCGUAAAUACUGCAGAACUAGGGAGUGGGAGAGGUAGACGGUACUCGGUAGGAAGGGGUGAAAUCCUGUCAUCCUUAGAGGACCACCAGUUGCGAAGGCGCCACACUGGAACGGAUCCGACGGUCAGGGACGAAGCCUAGGGGCACGAACCGG
rnacentral:rRNA from 1 species